UACGAAGGGGGCUAGCGUUGCUCGGAAUCACUGGGCGUAAAGGGUGCGUAGGCGGGUCUUUAAGUCAGGGGUGAAAUCCUGGAGCUCAACUCCAGAACUGCCUUUGAUACUGAGGAUCUUGAGUUCGGGAGAGGUGUGUGGAACUCCGAGUGUAGAGGUGAAAUUCGUAGAUAUCGAGAGGAACACCGGUGGCGAAGGCGGCCAACUGGACGAGUACUGACGCUGAGACACGAAAGCGUGGGGAGCAAACAGG
rnacentral:rRNA from 1 species